rnacentral:lncRNA from 12 species
CCCCCCCCCCCCCCCCCCCCCCCCCCCCCCCCCCCCCCCCCCCCCCCCCCCCCCCCCCCCCCCCCCCCCGGGGCUCUGUGCCCCUGAAAGGGCUCUGUGCCCCCGCUGCGACCCCCCUGUGUCCCCCUGAGGGGCUCUGUGCCCCCCGUGCCCCUCAAAGGGCUCUGCAUCCCUGCUGUGACCCCCCCCGUGCCCCUUGAGGGGCCCUGUGCCCCCCGAUGGGACCCCCCGAGGGGCUCUGUGCCCCCCUAUGCCCCCUGAGGGGCUCUGUGCCCCCCGAUGUGCCCCCGCUGUGCCCGCCCUGUUACCCCUGAUGUCACCUCGCUGUGCCCGCAGCCGGCGGUGGCCGCCGCCCUGUACCUGCGGCAGGUGCAGGGCCGCCCGGGGCCCGACGCCCUCGCUGUGCUGCACCCCCCCCCCCCCCCCCCCCCCCCCCCCCCCCCCCCCCCCCCCCCCCCCCCCCCCCCCCCCCCCCCCCCCCCCCCCCCCCCCCCCCCCCCCCCCCCCCCCCCCCCCCCCCCCCCCCCCCCCCCCCCCCCCCCCCCCCCCCCCCCCCCCCCCCCCCCCCCCCCCCCCCCCCCCCCCCCCCCCCCCCCCCCCCCCCCCACCCAGUGUCACCCAGUUUGUCUCCCUUCCCUCCCAGUCUCUCCCAGUGCCCCCAGAGCUCACUCCCAGUGCUCCCAGUUCCUCCCAGUGCCCCCAGAGCUCACUCCCAGUCUCUCCCAGUACCCCCAGAGCUCACUCCCGGUGUCUCCCAGUGCUCCCAGUCCCUCCCAGUGCCCCCAGAGCACACUCCCGGUGUCUCCCAGUGGCCCCAGAGCUCACUCCCAGUGCUUCCAGUCCCUCCCAGUGCCCCCAGAGCACACUCCCGGUGUCUCCCAGUGCUCCCAGUCCCUCCCAGUGCCCCCAGAGCUCACUCCCAGUGCUCCCAGUCCCUCCCGAUGCCCCCAGAGCUCACUCCCAGUCCCUCCCAGUUCUCCCAGUACGUGCCUGUCUCCCCCAGGAUGCCGCCUCGGUCGCUGACGUGGUGGUGUGGGGCAGCCUGUUCCCAGUGCUGCAGGAUGAGACCAGUCUGCCCAGUAAGAGCUGGUUGGGGGGGUCCCUGCUGGCCUGGGGGUCCCUGCCGGAUUGGGGGGGUCCCUGCUGGAUUGGGGGGGUCCCUGCCGGAUUGGGGGUGUCCCUGCCGGAUUGGGGGUGUCCCUGCCGGAUUGGGGGGGUCCCUGCCGGCCUGGGGGGCCCCCCCCCCCCCCCCCCCCCCCCCCCCCCCCCCCCCCCCCCCCCCCCCCCCCCCCCCCCCCCCCCCCCCCCCCCCCCCCCCCCCC